CUUUGACUCUGUUUGCAAACUCUUGUUUAAAUCUCUCGAGUAGACGCUGUCUCUUUAGAUGCAAGGGCAAAAUAGCACUUUAUGGACUUACACAGAGGACAUCAUGUUUAAUACGGUUCCGGAAAAAUCCAGUCAGAAGUUCUUCACGGAGUUUUCACAAUAACUGCUUCUCAUGAACCGAAGCUGCGCGACGUCUCCUCCUGAAAGUUGGAUUACCGUGCACUUCUGGAUCACAGGCUAUUCGCAGCUGUACACAUCCUUCUACACUGUAUGCAAACAUGCAACAUCAUAACACACAGUACAAGGAGUCAGACUGGCAUAUGAGGAGCAAAGGAACCCACGCAGUAGCAUCGUUUCAAAAUGUUUCCAUCACCAUCAUCAGUGGAUGCCUUUGCCGUCCGUACCCUGAGAUUUCAGAUUUGCUGCAAAAAAUGUGACUUUCCCAUUUAUUGGAAUGCUGUGCAGCCAUCCAUUACAAUGUCACCAAGCCGUAACAAAAGCAGGAGAGGGAAAGUACAAGGCUAUGUUCCCAAAACACAAAAGUGACAUACUUUAUGUGGAUGAUGUGAUCAGGCUUGUGUUUGCUGAGGUAUUUGAAGAUAAGCUGAAGGAAACCCCGAUUCCAAUGGACCUGGCAUCACAGUUUGAGAGACCUUCAAAGGAGGACGUGAUUGCAUGCCAUCUUCAGUGCAGGGGUCGUCGGAAGCCAACAUUCCGAUCGGGAAGCUCCAAGCGUAUCUGGAGAACAACACACGACAGGAUGAUAACCCUAAAGUGUCAUCUUAGAUAGCAUCAGCUGACAAAGCUUUGAUAUGCCAUUUAUCUGAAUAGAUAGCUGUAAGAAAUGAAUUGAACAAUUUUUGAAAGAAGAGCACAAUAUGGUUACUAAAGUAUGUUUAUUUGUAUAUUGUUUAACAUUUAAAUAUAUAUUUGUAAUAAAUAAAAAACUUUUGACUGA